rnacentral:rRNA from 1 species
UACGUAGGGGGCAAGCGUUAUCCGGAUUUAUUGGGCGUAAAGAGCGCGUAGGCGGGCUAUUAAGCGAGAUGUGAAAACUGGGGGCUCAACCCGCAGCUUGCAUCUCGAACUGGUAGCCUUGAGUCUGGUAGAGGAGUGUGGAAUUCCCAGUGUAGCGGUGAUAUGCGCAGAUAUUGGGAGGAACACCAGUGGCGAAGGCGGCACUCUGGGCCACGACUGACGCUGAGGCGCGAAAGCUAGGGGAGCGAACAGG